rnacentral:rRNA from 1 species
AUUGAACGCUGGCGGCAUGCUUUACACAUGCAAGUCGAACGGUAACAGGUUAAGCUGACGAGUGGCGAACGGGUGAGUAAUGCAUCGGAACGUGCCCGGUCGUGGGGGAUAACGCAGCGAAAGUUGCGCUAAUACCGCAUACGAUCUGAGGAUGAAAGCGGGGGACCGUAAGGCCUCGAGCGAUCGGAGCGGCCGAUGUCAGAUUAGGUAGUUGGUGGGGUAAAGGCUCACCAAGCCAACGAUCUGUAGCUGGUCUGAGAGGACAACCAGCCACACUGGGACUGAGACACGGCCCAGACUCCUACGGGAGUCAGCAGUGGGGAAUUUUGGACAAUGGGCGAACGCCUGAUCCAGCAAUGCCGCGUGCAGGAAGAAGUCCUUCGGGUUGUAAACUGCUUUUGUACGGAGCGAAAAGGUCUCCUCUAAUACAGGGGGCUCAUGACGGUACCGUAAGAAUAAGCACCGGCUAACUACGUGCCAGCAGCCGCCGUAA